rfam:Dichanthelium oligosanthes cultivar Kellogg 1175 unplaced genomic scaffold Do_version_2_scaffold6444, whole genome shotgun sequence.
CUGACAGAAGAGAGUGAGCACACAUGGUGCCUUUCUUGCAUGAUGUAUGAGGGAGUUCAUGCUUGAAGCUAUGCGUGCUCACUUCUCUCUCUGUCAG